AGAAUGUGAGUUGGACCUAGUACUUACUCCUGGCAAACAGACUAUGGCAGAAGUGAGGAGAUGUUUCUCUCAAGAUUAGGUUACAAAAAGAAUGGACCUUCAGCUGUCCCUCUAGCAGAUACAGUUUAGGACCAUUCUAUCAUUCAAAAAGAAAAAAAUCAGCAAAUUUUCUACUGGGAUUAAGAUCAUUAACUGGAGACGUGCCACUGCUGGUCUGGAAAGAAUACUAACUAUAGUGACUGGCUAACAAUUCAACUAAACAAUCACUGACUCCAUGUUGCCCAGGCCAAGAUGUUCCGGUAGGUGCCUGCAAGGGACAGAAAGUAGGGUACAACUUCUACCUCAAAGGAUUUACAAACUGACAAGGACACAUCAACUACCCCAGGAAGGGGGGCUUGAGAAGGACUGUGUGGAGCCUUGAAGAGUA